GACGAACGCUGGCGGCGUGCUUAACACAUGCAAGUCGAACGAUGAAGCUGGAGCUUGCUCCGGUGGAUUAGUGGCGAACGGGUGAGUAACACGUGAGCAAUCUGCCCUUGACUCUGGGAUAACUGCGGGAAACUGUAGCUAAUACCGGAUACGAGGCUCGAAGGCAUCUUCGGGUCUGGAAAGAAUUUCGGUCAAGGAUGAGCUCGCGGCCUAUCAGCUUGUUGGUGGGGUAAUGGCUCACCAAGGCGACGACGGGUAGCCGGCCUGAGAGGGUGAGCGGCCACACUGGGACUGAGACACGGCCCGGACUCUUACGGGAGGCAGCAGUGGGGAAUAUUGCACAAUGGGCGAAAGCCUGAUGCAGCAACGCCGCGUGAGGGAUGAAGGCCUUCGGGUUGUAAACCUCUUUUAGCAGGGAAGAAGCGAAAGUGACGGUACCUGCAGAAAAAGCACCGGCUAACUACGUGCCAGCCGCCGCCGUAA
rnacentral:rRNA from 1 species